rnacentral:rRNA from 1 species
UACGUAGGGUGCGAGCGUUGUCCGGAAUUAUUGGGCGUAAAGAGCUCGUAGGCGGUGUGUCACGUCGGCCGUGAAAACCUGACAGGCUUAACUGUGGGCGUUGCGGUCGAUACGGGCAUCACUGGAGUUUCGGGCAGGGGAGGACUGGAAGUUCCUGGUGUAGCGGUGAAAUGACGCAGAUAUCAGGAGGAACACCGGUGGCGAAGGCGGGUCUCUGGGCCGAUACUGACGCUGAGGAGCGAAAGCGUGGGGAGCAAACAGG